AUUCAUCUCCACCAAAUUCUCCAGUUUCUUCUCUUUCAUCUACAAUCACAGUACUCAUCCAUGGCGAUUUCUCAAGCUCAACCUCUGCUUCUUCUGCUCAUAUCAUUCUUCCUAUUACCUGCUUUGCACGCCACUUCUUUCUCCUACUGCGAUAAGAGGCUCGAUCCCGUCAAGGUCACGGGUGUGAAGAUCUCUCCUAACCCCGUUGUGAGUGGUGAAGCUG